ACACAGAACUGUGAUCUCGAUCAAAUUUAUUUUGAAUACAUCGGGGGAUCGUAAAGAUUUUAUCGGAGAGAUUUUGCACUCGGAAGGGUUAAGAUAUAUGUUAAAUAAUCGGACAUAGUACGAUAAGGUUGUAUGUCUAAAGGGAAACAGCCCAGAACAAGAGUUAAUAAGGUUCCAAAAUUAUUGUUGAGUGAAAUAAAGGAUGUGUCUUUGAACACGAUCAGGAAAUAGGCUUAGAAGCGGCCAUUUUUUAAAGAUCUCGUAACAGAGCACUGAUAUAAAACCAGAAGAUCAUACCGAAAAUAUAACGGAUCUAAAUAAUAUACCGAAACCUUGUCCAUAGAUAAUUAAUUAUCUAUGGGGUAGCGGAACAUUGGAUAAAUCUAAGAUUUUUUCUUUAUAAGACUAAAUGUAAUGUAAGAUGAUCCAAGUGAUAAUGCUGACAUGAGUAACGAAAAGAACAAAAAAACAUUUGUACUAUGAAAAUAAAAAAAGAACGGGGGUUCUCGAUCUUUUUUAUCUAAUAGUCGUGUUUUUUUCCGCCUUAAGCUUAUGAGACACGGAGCGCAAUUUAAAUUUACGGCCUCUAAGUUAAAUAAAAAAAAUGGAAUAAGGGUCCCUACAGAAAAUUUGUGUAUUAUCUGUAAGUAUAGAUAUAAGAAUAUAUAAUGAAUUUUGUCUUUUAUCAUAAAAUGCGGGGACGGGAAGUCUUAUAUUAAGUUGUUUUUUACGAAAUUUUCGUUAGAAACAAAUCUGCUGAAUGUUAAGCAAAUUGUACUGUACUUAUUGAAAUUUUUUUUUAACGAUGAGAAGUUAAAAGACUUAAAACUAAUUAAAGUAAAAUUAGUUCUGGAAAAAACAUUAAUACCGUCUCUAAAAACUAUCGCAAGUAAGCUAG
rnacentral:rRNA from 1 species